CCCAGGUAUGGGGAGAUAGCCGUCCACACCCCGAUGCUUCCCCUCCGCAGGCGCUGGCCAAUGGCAAGCUCGAUGUGGAAGAGGGGGAUCCCCUCGAAGACCAGCGCGAUGAGGGGUCCGCCAUCCUCACAGGAGAGCAGGAGGACUCGCUAUAUACGGCAAGCAGUUGCGGAGCCCGCUGGCCCCAGGGAGACUGAAUGGAGCACAGGGCUUCUGUGUGAGUGACUGCGCCACUCCAGCCGCCCACGGGCGUCUGCUACAGAGAAGUCCAUGCCCACUCACCAUGCAGGCUGCUUUGGUUCAGAGUGCUAAGAGUAAAUAAACACCUCCUGCUGAGGGA